UACGGAGGGAGCUAGCGUUGUCCGGAUUUAUUGGGCGUAAAGAGCUCGUAGGCGGUCUGUCGCGUCGGAUGUGAAAACUCGGGGCUCAACCCCGAGCCUGCAUUCGAUACGGGCAGACUAGAGUUCGGUAGGGGAGACUGGAAUUCCUGGUGUAGCGGUGAAAUGCGCAGAUAUCAGGAGGAACACCGGUGGCGAAGGCGGGUCUCUGGGCCGAUACUGACGCUGAGGAGCGAAAGCGUGGGGAGCGAACAGG
rnacentral:rRNA from 1 species